CUGAGAACCACAUCGCCAAGCCAUCUUGGGUUACUUGUAUUUUAGUAGCAUGAGUGGACAACAAAACCAAAUCUAAAAAUACCCAGGGAAUCCUCUGUCGCUGAGAUCCUCCAGAUAAAAACUACUGAUGGGGUGAAGGCUCUGGAGAUGAAGGAAGAAGAGAUUGUGCCAGUGAGACCAAGACUGUAGGCUCACUCCCUGAAAGCAUCAAUCAUCCUCACUUUCAGUCUGAUGCAGGACUGACAAGUUGAGGAAAAUGAAGAGAAAGAGGAGGAGGAGGAGAAGGAAAAGGAAAAGAAACCUAGAUAUGUUUGAAUUUCAGAUAAACAUAAUUAUGUCCUAUGAAAUAUUUGGGGUAUACUUCUAUUAA